GACAGAGGGUGCAAACGUUGUUCGGAAUUACUGGGCGUAAAGCGCGUGUAGGCGGCUAAGUAAGUCGGGCGUGAAAUCCCACGGCUCAACCGUGGAAGUGCACUCGAAACUGCAUAGCUAGAGUCCUGGAGAGGAAGGUGGAAUGCUUGGUGUAGAGGUGAAAUUCGUAGAUAUCAAGCGGAACACCGGUGGCGAAGGCGGCCUUCUGGACAGUCGACUGACGCUGAGACGCGAAAGCGUGGGGAGCAAACAGGG
rnacentral:rRNA from 1 species